GCUAAUUUUUGUAUUUUUAGUAGAGACGAGGUUUCACCAUGUUGGCCAGGUUGGUCUUGAACUCCUGAGCUCAGGCAAUCUGCCCGCCUUGGCCUCCCAAAGUGCUGGGAUUACAGGCAUAAGCCACUGUGCCCAGCCUGAAUAUUGAUAUGUUUUUUAAGUUUGGGCUGGUGUCUCACUAGCUCACGUGUCCCCCAAGUCCACUAGUUACGAGCCCAGCACAGCAUUAGAACUUUCUAGGCCAGAUGCAGUCCUUGUGGCCUAGACCGUCUUUCAGGUUUAUUUAGGACUGUAGGGCAUGUUAGCCCAUGGUGGCAAAGCUUGCUGAAACUCAUGUUCUGACCUCUGGGAUGGGCAAAUUCCCUCUGGCUAGGGCUGGUCUAAAUGCUCCCUCUGAGGAUGCUGGCUGAGUUCUGCCCAGUGUUGCUCUCAACUGCAACAUGGGAGCACUAAAUUCCAACACAGUCCCACAAUCACUGCGAUCUCCCUCCUUCAACUGUAGAGUCUCUCUGUGUGCCACGUGGCCACUGCUGGGGGCUGGGGAAGGGGAGGUGUUAGCAAUUUAAGACUGUCUUUCCUACCCUCCUCAGUGUCUCUUUCAGUCAUAUGAAGUUAAAACCAGGUACUAUGAGUGCUCACCUGAUUUUUGGUUCUUAUGAAGGUGCUUUUUAAUAUAGAUAGUGGUUAAAUUUGGUGUCCCUGUCAGGAGACACCUCCACAAUUGGUGGAGGCUUCUAUUUAGCUGUCUUGCUCUGCCUCCUCCAUUUUGUUGUUGUUGUUGUUGUUUUUUUAGACAGACUCGCACCCCGGUUGGAGUGCAGUGACACAAAAAUGGCUCACUGCAGCCUUGACCUCUGGGACUCAAGUGGUUCUCCCACCGCAGCCUCCUGAGUAGCUGGGACUACAUGUGUGCACCAUCGUGCUCAGCUCAUUUGUGUUUUUAAUUUUUUUGUAGAGAUGAUGUCUUACUAUGUUGCCCAAGCUGGUCUCAAUGUCCUGGGCUUAAGGGAUCCUCUGGCCUCAGCCUCCCAAAAGUACUGGGAUUAUAGGCAUGACCUGUUAUUGUUUAUGAACUGUGUGCUCUUUACAAUUUUCUCUUUGCAAGCAUUUACUCUUUGAUUUAACUCACCAUUACUACAACCACUUGUCACUCAUAGAUUUGCCAGAGAUUAGGUAAAUAUUUUACUUGUUUCUAUUAAUCUUUUUUUAAAUGUACAUGUAGCUUGCAUUUAUUUCAAUGUUUAAAACUGGAGAUGUUUUGGGUCUUUCUUUAGAACUUUGAUGAUGUUUAUAAAACAUCUGUAGGAACUUAAUUCUUGUUUAUAUAAAUUAGCCUUUUUUUUUUUUUUUGAGACAGAGUCUUCCUCUGUUGGCUAGGCUAGAGCACAAUGGCUCAACCUCAGCUCACCGUAAUCUCUACCUCCCGGAUUCAAGUGAUCCUUCCACCUCAGCCUCCCAAGUAGCUAGGACUACAGGCUUUUUUUUUUGUUUUUGGUAGAGACGAGGCUCACUCUAUUGCCCAGGCUGGUCUUGAACUCCUGAGCUCAAGUGAACCUCCCAUCUCAGCCUCCCAAAGUGCUGGGAUUACAGGUGUGAGGCAGUGUGCCUGGCAAGCCUAUGGCAAAACUGGCUUCCUGAUGUAUCAUUUGCUUAAAGUCACAGUUUCCAAGUACCUAUCAACAUUAAGUGAUGACUUAAACUGUAUAAUCCUUUAACUAUACUGCUGAAUUCUGUUUGCAAGUACCUUUCUGAGGAUUUUUGCAUCAGUCUUCAUAAGGGAUACUGGUCUGUAGUUUUCCUGUAGUACCUUUACUGGCUUUGGUAUUAGGUUAAUGCUGGCCUCAUAGAACGUGUUAAGGGUAUGCCCUCAUCUUCAAUUUUUGGGAAGUCUGAAAUGAUUGAUACAGUUCUUCUUUAAAUGCUUGGUAGAAUUAAUCAGUGAAGCCAUCAGGUUUAGGGCUUUUCUUUGACAGGAGAUGUUUGAUUACUGAUUGAAUCUCUUUAGUAGUUACAAAUCUACUCAUAUUUUUUAUUUCUUCAUGGUUUAGCCUGGUAGGUUUAGUGUUUCUAGGAAUUUCUCCAUUUCACUUGGGUUAUCCAAUUUCUUGGCAGACAAUUGCUGACAGUAUUCCCCUAUAACUCUUUUCAUUUCUGUAGAAAUGGUAGUAAUGUCUUCAUUUUCAUUUCUGACUUGUCUCCUUUGUUAUAAGUAGAUCUAGCUAGAGAUUUGCAAAGUUUUUUGAUUUUUGAAUAACCAACUUUUGGUUUCAUUUUGAUUUUUCUAUAUUAUUUUUCUAGUCUCUAUUUCAUUUAUAUCUAUUCUAAUCUUUACUACUUCCUUUCUACUGCUAGCUCUGGGUUUAGUUUGCUCUUCCUUUUCAGUUCCUUAAAUUGGAAAGUCCGGUUGGUGAUUUGAUAUUUUUCUUAUUUUUUAAAUAAUUUUUAAUUUUGCUUUCUUCAGACCAGACUCUUAUUUUUUAAUGUAAGAAUUUAUAGCUAGAAACUUCCCCCUUGGCACUGCUUUUGUUGUGUCUCAUAAGUUUUGGUAUGCUGUGUUUUCAUUUUCACUUGUCUUUAUAAGUAUUUUAUUAUUUGUCUUGUGGUUUCUUUUUUUUUUUUUUUUUUUAGACAAACAGCUUUAUUUGAAAGACGGAGGACAGCCGAGUCCCCCCGACCCCGUGGUCCUGGCGACAUCGGUCUCACGUGUGGGAAGACCAGUGUCCUGUGGAGAGAAAACAGGGUUAGGGGU
rnacentral:lncRNA from 10 species